ACUGGUGGGAACCUUGGGCUCACGUCGGACCGGUGUCAGAUCACACGGAAAGCGUAAGAUUCCGCCUCAGAGUCCGACUGCGAGCAGUUGCUUCUUGGCAACCACAGUGCAGUGCUAUUAACUGGUGGUGGGAGGGAGGUGAUCAGUGCUGUGUUAUUACCAGUUUCCCCUUCGACAGCAGCUGGGGUCUCGGCACUAUGGAGGUUCUCACCUCCAGUACCCUAUCACAAUUGGUGGGGGAAAGCAGUAUCGGAGAGAUAAUAGCUCCCUUGCUGCCUCGAACACCUCUGGCAUGGAUGGAUGUACCGGGGCUGUACUCUGAUGGGUCUCCCUCGGUGGGGAGUCCAACGAUACCUGACUUGAUGGGUCUCUUUCCUGGGCUGGAAUCAACGGUACCGAACUGGCAGCUGUUGAGUGCAAAUGGCCCAGCACAAGUUGCACUCUGCCAAUUUCCCUGAGACUGGCAGACCCCAGAGUUGGGGAACGCACCUUUGUCCAUUUUCCUUUGCUUUUUCUUCGGCACCGGUGACUGGGAGUCGUGCCGGACGUCCCCUGGAGGCGUAAGCCUCUUCUGUGCUGGAGAACCCUGGCGGUGCCACAAGUCCCGGAAUAUGGAUGAAGAGUUCUUCCUCGGUGCCGGUGAGGCCAAGCUGCACUACCCGUCUCUCAGAGAUGGAGCAGAUAUUCCAGCACGGACUGGAGAGGUAACCGAGUUGGUGAGAGGCCUCAUUGGGAUGACCACACCGAGAAAUGCUUCCGCUUGGUGAGAAGGACUUUAUGUACCAGAGGAAUGAGGGGAAACGUGUAGAACAGGAGUUUUAUCCAUACGAGUAGAAAUACAUCUGUGAGCGAGCCCAGGCUGUAACCACACAGCGUGCAAAACUGCUAACAUUUCCUGUUCCGCUUGGUUGCAAACAGAUCUAAAACAGGAAACCCCCACCUCUGGAAGAUGGAUCUGCCUAGAUCGGGGUGAAGGGACCACUCAUGGUGAGAAGAGAAAGACCUGCUGAGGCCAAGGGCUCUGAAGAUAGCCUGGGCCAGAGUGAUGCUGGCUCUCACGUGGCCCUCGAACCAGCUCUUGAUCAGCCAGUUAUGAGCACCAGUGAAGGGGAACAGUGCCGAGAAACCCAUGCUGCCAGAGGAGCAUUCUGCACCGAUGUCGAGGUAUUCAGUGCCAAAUCUCACUGGCCUGGCUAUGAUGCCAGUCUAAAUGUGGCUUCCAUCAGAAUGGACUUUAGCCUAGCCUCCCUGUCCUUUUUCAUAUGAGGCUUGAACUGGCAGCAUAUCUGGCAACACUCUCGCACGUGAGCAUCCUCCAGACAGUUCAGAGAGAUGGAGUGCAGGUCAGUCACCACAGGAGGCACAGGGUUUGAAGCCCAGAGUCCAGGGCUUGCCCAGCCCUGGGGGCAGAGGAUGCCCCUCUAAAUAAAUGCAGGGUUGAACUAUAUACACUGUUACUAAAAGAAAUAAACUGAAGGUAACUAAACUUGCGAAGAAAGGAGAGAAUAAUGGAACCACUAGAAGAAAUCCUUGCUGAGGCAAGAGUAGUUGUUACAGCGACCAUCAUGGAUGUUAAGGAGAAACUGAGAGGGUGUGGAACCAGCCAGGCCCCAUAUACCGGCGCACGAGCAUGCAGCACCAGAGGGCACUAGAGCCAGCCCAAUGGAUACCACUGUGAGAAAAAACCUCCGGCGACUGUGCAUGCAGCACAAGCACAUCUAACAUGGAAUGGACAUGAGCAAGCACUCAAAGAAGAACUGGAAGCAUUUCAGAGAAUGCUACCAUGCUGGUCCUGG